rnacentral:rRNA from 1 species
GACGAACGCUGGCGGCGUGCUUAACACAUGCAAGUCGAACGGAAAGGCCUGCUUUCCCUUGUGGAUUGCGGGUACUCGAGUGGCGAACGGGUGAGUAACACGUGAGUGAUCUGCCCCCAACUUGGGUAUAAGCCUGGGAAACUGGGUCUAAUUCCCGAUAGGACUGCAGGGUGGUGCCUGUGGUGGAAAACGAUUUUCUAGUGGUUGGGGAUGAGCUCGCGGCCUAUCAGCUUGUUGGUGGGGUAAUGGCCUACCAAGGCGGCGACGGGUAGCCGGCCUGAGAGGGUGGACGGCCACAUUGGGACUGAGCUACGGCCCAGACUCCUACGGGAGGCAGCAGUGGGGAAUAGUGGACAAUGGGCGGAAGCCUGAUGCAGCGACGCCGCGUGGGGGAUGCCGGCCUUCGGGUUGUAAACUCCUUUCGACCGCGAGGAAGCCACCUGGUUGGAAGGGUGGUGACGGUAGUGGUAGAAGAAGCACCGGCUAACUACGUG